rnacentral:rRNA from 1 species
AUUGAACGCUGGCGGCAGGCCUAACACAUGCAAGUCGAACGAGUGGCGGACGGGUGAGUAAUGUCUGGGAAACUGUCCGUUGGAGGGUGAUACCUACUGGAAACGGUAGCUAAUACCGCAUACCAUCUGAUGUGCCCAGAUGGGAUUAGCUAGUAGGUUGGGUAAUGGCUCACCUAGGCGACGAUCCCUAGCUGGUCUGAGAGGAUGACAAGCCACUCUGGAACGUAGCAACGGUCCAUAAUCCUACGGGAGGGAGCAGUGGGGAAUAUGGCACAAUUGGCGCAAGCCUGAUGCAGCCAUGCCGCGUGUAUGAAGAAGGCCUUCGGGUUGUAAAGUACUUUCAGCGAGGAGGCGUUACUCGCAGAAGAAGCACCGGCUAACUCCGUGCCAGCAGCCGCGGUAAUAC